GUAUUAAUAAUAAAUGCCCAAGGCUCUAUUGAAAAUAAACAACCUUAUUCCUUUUUGCUUCUUAAUAGCCAAAGCCCUGAAAUUCACAUUUGUACAACGAUGGCUCUAAAAUGCAUCCUGACAGAUGGAUACUUCUUGAGCUGUCAUAAGGCGAUGAAGAAAAUCCAGUCAAAUGUGUGGGUUAAGUCGGCAGUGAGCAAUCAUCAUUGUGAACCGUGUUAUGAACCAAGGCUCCAGGUCUCUUCAUUGUUACCCUGCUUCCUGGCAGCGUGGGAUGGAAAGCGUGUGCAGGAAACACAGUCACAAUGUGGUUUCACACGGGAGCUCAGGUUGCCUCCCGUGAAUAUGCACGACAAGCCUUGAUCUCACUCUGGCUACUUGAGUUUUCUUGAGCUUCACUUAACCCCCACAAACCCAUUUCCUGCCUAUGAUUCGAAGAUGUUCCUUGAGGAGGUUUGAAAAACAGGCAAAUGCCCACACGUAUCAAAACAUUUUAAGGAAAGUCAUCAUAAACCCCUGGAUGAUGAAAGGGCAACAGAAAAACUACAGUGCCUGGUACUGGAUCCCCAUAUAGCAGAUUCCAGAUUUUACAGAUUGAAUUCACAUCAAGCCUACUUUUUAUUUCUCUACUUAAGGACAACAAAUAUUUACUAAAUGAG